GACGAACGCUGGCGGCGUGCUUAACACAUGCAAGUCGAACGGGGUUAAGGAGCUUGCUUCUUAACUUAGUGGCGAACGGGUGAGUAACGCGUGAGGAACCUGCCUAUCAGUGGGGGACAACAGUUGGAAACGACUGCUAAUACCGCAUAACACCAUAGUACCGCAUGGUACAGUGGUCAAAGAUUUAUUGCUGAAAGAUGGCCUCGCGCCUGAUUAGCUAGUUGGGGGGGUAACGGCCCACCAAGGCGACGAUCAGUAGCAGGACUGAGAGGUUGACCGGCCACAUUGGAACUGGGAUACGGCCCAGACUCCUACGGGGGGCAGCAGUGGUGAAGAUUGGGCAAUGGGCGAAAGCCUGACACAGCGACGCCGCGUGAAGGAAGAAGGCCUUCGGGUUGUAAACUUCUUUUACCAGGGACGAACACAAUGACGGUACCUGGAGAAAAAGCAACGGCUAACUACGUGCCAGCAGCCGCGGUAACAC
rnacentral:rRNA from 1 species